rnacentral:rRNA from 1 species
CCUACGUGUGGCAGCAGUGGGGAAUAUUGCGCAAUGGGCGAAAGCCUGACGCAGCGACGCAGCGUGAGGGAUGAAGGUCUUCGGAUCGUAAACCUCUGUCAGCAGGGAAGAACGGUCACUGUGCUAAUCAGCAGUGAAGUGACGGUACCUGCAAAGGAAGCACCGGCUAACUCCGUGCCAGCAGCCGCGAUAAUACGGAGGGUGCGAGCGUUAAUCGGAAUUACUGGGCGUAAAGCGCACGUAGGCGGUAUGUCAAGUCAAGGGUGAAAUCCCCGCGCUCAACGUGGGAACUGCCUUUGAAACUGGCAAACUGGAGUGUGUGAGAGGAUAGUGGAAUUCCAGGUGUAGGAGUGAAAUCCGUAGAUAUCUGGAGGAACAUCAGUGGCGAAGGCGACUAUCUGGCACAUAACUGACGCUGAGGAGCGAAAGCGUGGGUAGCAAACAGGAUUAGAUACCCCUGUAGUC